rnacentral:snoRNA from 12 species
AGUUAGUGAUGAAAUCCCAUGCGUGUCAUCUGACUUCCACGUCUCGCUCUGCCUUCGCUCUGCGCUGUCUGCGUUCUGCAGCUUGGGUUUGGCUAGGGCAGAGGAUUCUGGGAAAUGAUCAGACCCGUUUAUCUGAAAACU